AGAGUUUGAUCCUGGCUCAGAGCGAACGCUGGCGGCAUGCUUAACACAUGCAAGUCGCACGGGCACUUCGGUGUCAGUGGCGGACGGGUGAGUAACGCGUAGGUAUCUAUCCUUGGGUGGGGGAUAACGGUUGGAAACGACUGCUAAUACCGCAUGAUAACUGAGGUUUAAAGGCGCAAGUCGCCUGGGGAGGAGCCUGCGUACGAUUAGCUAGUUGGUGGGGUAAAGGCCUACCAAGGCGACGAUCGUUAGCUGGUCUGAGAGGAUGAUCAGCCACAUUGGGACUGAGACACGGCCCAAACUCCUACGGGAGGCAGCAGUGGGGAAUAUUGGACAAUGGGCGCAAGCCUGAUCCAGCAAUGCCGCGUGUGUGAAGAAGGUCUUCGGAUUGUAAAGCACUUUCGACAGGGACGAUGAUGACGGUACCUGUAGAAGA
rnacentral:rRNA from 1 species